rnacentral:lncRNA from 1 species
GCACACAUAUCACAACAGACGAAAUCCCCAAGGUCAACAAUUAGGAGAAGGCAGCUUGACAUUCGUUUAUGUGCCUAGUCUGUCUAUGGCAUGGUGGUGAUUCCAGAUUGUUGACGAAAUAUCAUUACUGCUACCUUUACGUCUCGAUGGCCAUUGAUGUUGAGAUGCUGCCUAAUGAGGAGUUGGUGAAAGGUAUGCUUGAAGCAGUUGCUGCUGCUGUCCUUGGUGUCAAAAUUCCAUAGACUCAAACAGUUACACACACAAGAAGUAUUCCAUGACAACACCAGCACCACAGACAGCAUGGAACAGCUGGACUUCACCACAGCAUUCAGCAUUUCAGCCAGUCUGCAACAAACCAUAAUCACUAUAGAAAGCACUGCAGAAUUUCAAGAUUGCCGCUGGAUAAUUAACCUAUUUGAAAAA